AUUUUCCAACCACUGAUUUCUCUAAGUUUCUCUGAAAUUGUUCAUUUUUUCUUUUUAAUAAUUUACAAAUUUUGUCAUAUGAUAGUGAAGAUUCUUCGUUUGAAUUUUUUUAUUAUUGAAAAGUUUUUUGUGUGUAAUCACAAUAUGUUAUUGUGGGUUGUUUAUUAUUAACGUUUCAAUGUGCAUUUACUAAUUAUUUUUUAUAUUCAGGUGCAAUUUUAUGGAUGAUUUUGAAUCCAAGCUUAAAGAUAUUGACCUAUUUAGGACUUUUCUCCCCUUUUUCUCUUUCGAAUGAAAAUCUAAUUUAAUGCAGUUUAAAAAUUAAAGAAACAAAGGUGUUUGAUAGUAUGCUUGAACCAACUAAAAGUUUAUUGUUUUCUCUUCCUUGCAGAUUUGCUACAUGGUACGCCUCUUCAAUUUUUAAGAUGCUUGGUCAAUAUUAACUUUUUUGGAUAUUGUUGGGAUAGAGGGAGCAUGGUAGAAAAAUCAAGAGAAAUGAUCUUCCGAGUAAACAUAGGUCAAAGGAAGCAGGCCAGAAAGAGCAAUAGAAAUGGUUAUGAAAAGAUCCAGGAAUAUACUCUUAAAUUAGUUAUGAGUUGUAAGCGCAUUAUUCAUGAUUAGUAAGAUAGAGUCUCAACGGAAAAAAUACUUGGUGCAGGUUUGUUUUUACACAUGAUGAUCACAUGUGGUGUAGUUGUCAUCACACGAACUACUAGAAUAUCUUAUGUUGGAGAGUUACAACUAUCAUAUUUUCAUGUCGCUACACUAGAUAUCUUAAUUUUUAUGCAGGUGGAUAGUGUUGUUUUUUGAUUGA